rnacentral:rRNA from 1 species
GGCUCUUUGCUUGCAUAAAUAUAGGGAGUCGAGCCUGCCCAGUGAAUUUUUAAACGGCCGCGGUACUCUGACCGUGCAAAGGUAGCAUAAUCAUUUGCCUUAUAAUUGAAGGCUAGUAUGAAUGGUUUGACGAGAGCAACACUGUCUCCUUUUUAUUUUCAAGAACUUAACUUUUAGGUGAAGAGGCCUAAAUUUUAUUGAAGGACAAGAAGACCCUAUCGAGCUUAAAAGACAUUAUAGAAGUUUAUAUAUUUUUAAAUAAAUUUUCUAUCAAGCUUUUUAGUUGGGGCGACUAAGGAACAAAAAAAGCUUCUUGCUGAUAAUAAACAGUCAUGUUUAGAUCCGAUAAUAGUCGAUCAAAGAAAUUAGUUACCGUAGGGAUAACAGCAUAAUCUCUCUUGAGAGACCUAAUCGAAAGAGGGGGUUGUGACCUCGAUGUUGGACUAGAAUAUCCUAAAGAUGCAGAAGUCUUUAAGGGUCGGUCUGUUCGACCGUUAAAAUUCU